rnacentral:tRNA from 2 species
UCCCCUGUAGCUCAGCGGUAGAGCAGUUGACUGUUAAUCAAUUGGUCGUGUGUUCGAUCCACACCGGGGGAGCCA